UAACUCAUUUUAACAUUCGGUGUACACUGGAAUCAAUCGGUUCACAUCUUCAUCUCUUCAAUCUACAAUACACUAUACACUACACACACUCACACUACACUUCUGCUCUUUUACCUUUUUCCUUUCUUUUUCCGUGCCCCGUUCAUGAUCAUUGACGGGGCCGGGUAUUGUUAUGCUUGCUACGGCUUCGGCCCUGUUAAGCAGAGCUUACCUGUCCUUUUUCACACCUACACAUUUUUAACACAACUACACCAACACAUUUUUCACAUCAUUGGGGCAGCAAUGAUAAGAAACGAAUAAAAUGAAGAAUGAUACUCAAAUAUUGAAUUAGAUUUCAUUUUCUGUGGAAAACAUGUGCAAGCAGUCAACUUCAAAUUGCAUCAUUUAUAAUAAGACACGAAGAAACCCAAAAAUGUAUGAAGAUUAAGAAAAUGAAAAAUAUUGCCCCACCGAAUUAUUCCGAAAUUACGAGAAGUUGAAGAUAUAAUGAAUCAACUUACUGAUUGAUAAAAAUCACAGUUUGCUGCAGAAUACAUCAUCUCACAUCAAAUAUGUACCAGUAAAAGUAACCAGAAUAAAUGAUGGUCAAUCAACUUAAUCUAUUCUUAUCAACAAAAAACCACCAAUCACGAAACAAUAAAUCAUUUCAAUAAUUUAAAGGAGGACACAACAGCAAUGGUUUCCAUCACUUAGAAAAUGUCAUAAGUUAAAAAGAAGACAUCUUCACUGCAAACUUAUACCUACAAGUGAACUUACUUGAAGUAACUGUGUGCAUUGAAGUCAAUUGAUUCUUUCUGCACAGUAAUAUCCGCCCGGCUCUGAACAACGCAAGAUCUCAAUCCACAUGAAGAAGUAACUCAUUUUAACAAGCGGCGUGCACAGGAAUCAAUCGAUACUUAUUAACAACAAAAAAAAACGCUAAUCACGAAACAAUAAAUCAUUUCUAUCAUUUAAAGGAGGACACAACAGCAAAAGGUUUUCAUCACAUGUUCUUCAUCAAUCAGAAGGCAAACCAAUUCAAUCCAAAGGAAAUCAAUGAUCAAUCCAAAUCCAUGAUGAGAGGACAGAGCACUCCCAUAUGAUGGUCUUGAGUCCAGAGAGGGGUCAAUCUCGCCCGACGCUGGACUUCUAAAUUCAACGCAUCCUCCUGCGAGAUGUGAGCUGUUAUCUCGAGGAGCGGAUUAAGGUAGGUAGUGGUGAUGCCCAUGAUCAGAAGGCUGGCGCACACAUG